UGGGGGAUAUUGCACAAUGGGCGAAAGCCUGAUGCAGCGACGCCGCGUGGGGGAUGAAGGCCUUCGGGUUGUAAACUUCUUUUGCUCUGAACAAGGCGCACCAUGGGGUGUGUUGAGUGUAGGGGUUGAUUAGCGCCGGCUAACUACGUGCCAGCAGCCGCGGUAAUACGUAGGGCGCGAGCGUUGUCCGGAAUUAUUGGGCGUAAAGGGCUUGUAGGUGGCUGGUUGCGUCUGUCGUGAAAGCUCAUGGCUUAACUGAUGGUUUGCGGUGGGUACGGGCUGGCUUGAGUGCAGUAGGGGAGGCUGGAAUUCCUGGUGUAGCGGUGGAAUGCGCAGAUAUCAGGAGGGAUACCGGUGGCGAAGGCGGGUCUCUGGGCUGUUACUGACACUGAGGAGCGAAAGCAUGGGGAGCGAACAGG
rnacentral:rRNA from 1 species